UCCUAAAUGGUCCAGUGGUCAGGAUCGCCGCCUCUCACGCGGCUGGCCGGGGUUCGAUUCCCCGUUUGGGAA